rnacentral:tRNA from 1 species
GUCUAUGUAGAUUAUAUAUUAAAUCGUGAUGCUGUUAACUUCAGGAAAUGGUAUAAUUCCAUUAUAGUCG